AUAUUGGACAAUGGGGGCAACCCUGAUCCAGCUAUGCCGCGUGUGUGACGUAGUACUUCGGAUUGUAAAGCACUUUAAGUUGGGAAGAAGUGCUUUAGGCUAAUACCCUGAAGAUUUGACGUUACCAACAGAUUAAGCACCGGCUAACUCUGUGCCAGCAGCCGCGGUAAUACAGAGGGUGCAAGCGUUAAUCGGAAUUACUGGGCGUAAAGCGCGCGUAGGUGGUUCAGUAAGAUGGGUGUGAAAUCCCCGGGCUUAACCUGGGAACUGCUUUCAUAACUGCUGAGCUAGAGUACGGUAGAGGGUAGUGGAAUUUCCUGUGUAGCGGUGAAAUGCGUAGAUAUAGGAAGGAACACCAGUGGCGAAGGCGACUACCUGGACUGAUACUGACACUGAGGUGCGAAAGCGUGGGGAGCAAACA
rnacentral:rRNA from 1 species